UACGUAGGGGGCAAGCGUUGUCCGGAAUCAUUGGGCGUAAAGAGCGUGUAGGCGGUCCGAUAAGUCCGCUCUGAAAGCCCGGGGCUCAACCCCGGGAGGCGGGCGGAUACUGUCGGGCUAGAGUCCGGAAGAGGCAAGUGGAAUUCCUGGUGUAGCGGUGAAAUGCGCAGAUAUCAGGAGGAACACCGAUGGCGAAGGCAGCUUGCUGGGACGGUACUGACGCUGAGACGCGAAAGCGUGGGGAGCAAACAGA
rnacentral:rRNA from 1 species